CAGUCGCCACGGGAACACGAAGGGUGCAAGCGUUAAUCGGAAUUACUGGGCGUAAAGCGCGCGUAGGUGGUUUGUUAAGUUGGAUGUGAAAUCCCCGGGCUCAACCUGGGAACUGCAUCCAAAACUGGCAGGCUAGAGUAGGGCAGAGGGUGGUGGAAUUUCCUGUGUAGCGGUGAAAUGCGUAGAUAUAGGAAGGAACAUCUGUGGCGAAGGCGACUAUCUGGGCCAACACUGACACUGAGGCACGAAAGCGUGGGGAGCAAACAGGAUUAGAUACCCGCGUAGUCCCUGUCUCUUAUAC
rnacentral:rRNA from 1 species